rnacentral:ribozyme from 1 species
GUCUCCAGAGAUAAUAACCUUUACGUGGUUGGAGAUAUAAGUACACAGUAUAUAAGCCUUUUUGACCUCUGUAUAUGUGGAAACUAAUAAUUAUC